rnacentral:rRNA from 1 species
GAUGAACGCUGGCGGCGUGCUUAAUACAUGCAAGUCGAACGGAGACAAUAGCAAUAUUGUCUUAGUGGCGAACGGGUGAGUAACGCGUUGGGGACCUGCCCCGAAGAGGGGGAUAACCGUCCGAAAGGAUUGCUAAUACCCCAUGUGGUCAUAUGGAUUAGAUGCCUAAUGACUAAACGGAUGUAUUCGCUUCGGGAGGGGCCUGCGUCCCAUCAGCUAGUUGGUAAGGUAAUGGCUUACCAAGGCGAUGACGGGUAGGGGACCUGAGAGGGGGCACCCCCACAAUGGAACUGAAACACGGUCCAUACCCCUACGGGUGGCAGCAGUAGGGAAUAUUGGUAAUCUGGGAAACCGGGAACCAGCAACGCCGCGUGCACGAUGAAGGCCUUCGGGUCGUAAAGUGCUUUUUGAAGGGAUGAGGAAGGACAGUACCUUCAGAAUAAGCCUCGGCUAACUACGUGCCAGCAGCCGCGGUAAAAC